CCAUGUAGUACACUAGAUGUAUAUGGCACCCUUUCACCUCUAUAGUGGGCCAUGUAGUACACUAGAUGUAUAUAGGGACGCAGCCUAUGACUAAGACCCAAACAUCUCUCUCUGCUAACCAGUGGUCAAACGCUUGAUGUCCGUCAGAAGAGGCAGAAGAUGAGAAGUCAGAGGCAGCAGAGCGCUACAACAUAACUAUGAGACAGGAACAGCGUGGUUAUUCCACAUGAACGAGGCGUGUUAUUCCACAUGAACGAGGAGUGUUGUUCCACAUGAAAGAGGCGUGUUGUUCCAUGAACGAGGCGUGUUGUUCCACAUGAACGAGGCGUGUUGUUCCAUGAACGAGGCGUGUUGUUCCACAUGAACGAGGCGUGUUGUUCCACAUGAACGAGGCGUGUUGUUCCACAUGAAUGAGGCGUGUUGUUCCACAUGAACGAGGCGUGUUGUUCCAUGAAUGAGGCGUGUUGUUCCACAUGAAUGAGGCGUGUUGUUCCACAUGAACGAGGCGUGUUGUUCCAUGAAUGAGGCGUGUGGUUCCACAUGAACGAGGCGUGUUGUUCCACAUGAACGAGGCGUGUUGUUCCACAUGAUCGAGGCGUGUUGUUCCACAUGAUCGAGGCGUGUUGUUCCAUGAAUGAGGCGUGUUGUUCCAUGAACGAGGCGUGUUGUUCCAUGAACGAGGCGUGUUGUUCCAUGAACGAGGCGUGUUGUUCCAUGAUCGAGGUGUGUUGUUCCACAUGAAUGAGGCGUGUUGUUCCACAUGAACGAGGCGUGUUGUUCCACAUGAACGAGGCGUGUUGUUCCACAUGAACGAGGCGUGUUGUUCCACAUGAACGAGGCGUGUUGUUCCACAUGAACGAGGCGUGUUGUUCCACAUGAACGAGGCGUGUUGUUCCACAUGAACGAGGCGUGUUGUUCCACAUGAACGAG
ensembl:lncRNA